rnacentral:rRNA from 1 species
UACGGGGGGGGCAAGCGUUGUUCGGAAUUACUGGGCGUAAAGGGCUCGUAGGCGGCCAACUAAGUCAGACGUGAAAUCCCUCGGCUUAACCGAGGAACUGCGUCUGAUACUGGAUGGCUUGAGUUUGGGAGAGGGAUGUGGAAUUCCAGGUGUAGCGGUGAAAUGCGUAGAUAUCUGGAGGAACACCGGUGGCGAAGGCGGCAUCCUGGACCGGUAUUGACGCUGAGGCGCGAAAGCUAGGGGAGCAAACGGG